rnacentral:rRNA from 1 species
UACAGAGGGUGCGAGCGUUAAUCGGAAUUACUGGGCGUAAAGCGUGCGUAGACGGUUAUUUAAGUCGGGUGUGAAAGCCCCGGGCUCAACCUGGGAAUUGCAUUCGAGACUGAAUAGCUAGGGUACGGUAGAGGGAAGCGGAAUUUCCGGUGUAGCGGUGAAAUGCGUAGAUAUCGGAAGGAACAUCAGUGGCGAAAAGCGGCUUCCUGGA